GAUGAACGCUGGCGGCGUGCCUAAUACAUGCAAGUCGAGCGAACAGACGAGGAGCUUGCUCCUCUGACGUUAGCGGCGGACGGGUGAGUAACACGUGGAUAACCUACCUAUAAGACUGGGAUAACUUCGGGAAACCGGAGCUAAUACCGGAUAAUAUAUUGAACCGCAUGGUUCAAUAGUGAAAGACGGUUUUGCUGUCACUUAUAGAUGGAUCCGCGCCGCAUUAGCUAGUUGGUAAGGUAACGGCUUACCCAGGCAACGAUGCGUAGCCGACCUGAGAGGGUGAUCGGCCACACUGGAACUGAGACACGGUCCAGACUCCUACGGGAGGCAGCAGUAGGGAAUCUUCCGCAAUGGGCGAAAGCCUGACGGAGCAACGCCGCGUGAGUGAUGAAGGUCUUCGGAUCGUAAAACUCUGUUAUUAGGGAAGAACAAAUGUGUAAGUAACUAUGCACGUCUUGACGGUACCUAAUCAGAAAGCCACGGCUAACUACGUG
rnacentral:rRNA from 1 species